rnacentral:lncRNA from 1 species
GAAUGUGCUGUCUGUUUUACAUAUGGACACAUGGAACCGCAGGGUUGUGAUUUAAUGACACGUGUCAGUUUUUUUCUCUCUAUGAAACAUGCUGAACUAUAAUAAAACUCUUAAGUACUGUCAGGCCUGGCUGGAUGGCAUUAAGGAGCCAUACAACGACUAUACAUUAUUUACAAUAUUACAUUAUUAAUUAUUAAUUGUAACCGGAAGGUUACUGGACAACCCUGCUAUACUUGGGCAAGACACUUUACCUGCAUAGCCCCCAGUGUACUCACUGGUGUAUGGCACUCUUUGCUGGGCUGCCUUAAGCAAUUUCCCCAUUGUGGGACUAAUACAGGUUUCAAAUUUUAUUUAUUAAAAUAUAGAUAUUACUGUUUUCUAUUGGUCAUUGAUAAACUUUUGUUUUUCUUUUUGCUACAGAAAAAUGAUACAGUUAUCACUUUUCAUCCACAAGAGUCAGUUUUUGAACGAUGGAGUCAGAUCCCACUUGAAAUCAAAAAGGAGGCUGGACAGCGGAUGAAAAUCUGUGUCUUUUGGCUUCCUAUUCUAUUGCAGCGGGACGAGUCCAGCAAUGCUGUUUGCUGGGCUGCAGAAAUAGGUCUAAUCAGCUCAAAGAACACAGUGGACCUACGUCUGAAGCACCUGCGCAAGAUUGAGACAGUGGAGACAAUCCUCAGAGCCUUGGAGCAAGGAUCUUUGAAAAAGGACCAAAGCAAACAUGUUAAACUUGGUAAGUGUUUUUUUUUUCUCAGGGUAGAAAAUAUAAAUUUGAACACAUCUGUGUGUGUGUGUAAGGAUCAGGGUUGUUGAAUUGAACUUGUGGGUGUUGCAGCAUCGCACCGUUGAGGUUUUGGAUGAUGCCUUACACUGGUUGGAGCAAACGGAAGAACCUGACGUACGCACUCGCCUGAUGGAUCUCGGCCACGGACACACCUGCUUCACAGCUCUUCACUUUAUCUUCACAGAGUGUUGGUUACAGUCAUGCUCAGCGCUCUGCUUUCAUCCACUCACUCUUCUCGUCAUUCAUGUGAAGCUAUUGAUUCUUGUUUUGUUUAGUUGCCAAGUAUAUUCAAGACAUGGGAGGACGCCAUGAAAAGACCAUGAAGUCACUGAUGGCUAAACCUGGAAGUUAUUCUAUAGAAUAAAUAAUAUAAUAUUAUAUUUAUAUAAUAAUAU